AAGAGCAUUCCAAGAGCACUUCUAAGAACCCGCGUAUCCCUCCCUACCACACUGUGUCAGUACAGUGAUGAUCUCUAUUCUAUUUUACAGAUGAAGAAAUAGAGGUGCAAGGAGGUUAAGUACUUGCUGAAGAUCCUACAGCUGGGGAGCAGAAGUCCCGGAUAGGAGGGACCCCGAUUCUGUAAUCCCGCAGCUCUGUCUUCUAGGGUUUGAUAUAUUUAUUUUGUCAUGCCCCUUUCUGCUGGGGUGAGGGGAACUCCGACUCCCAGCAGGUGGCCCAGGCAAUCUCUAAACAGUACCAUGGUUAUACCCCAGGGGUGGAAGCGGAGGCCUGGAUGCCCUUUCCAGGAUUUGAAAAACACCGGGUUACCUGGUCCUUGAAAGGCUUCGGAAAGUAUCUGCACGUUGCUGUUGCUGACUCAGGAAAUUAGGCUAGCAGACACGGGGGACUCCCAAAGCUUGCUUGUGUCUGCACGUCUCUAUGGGAAUAAGCCCAGGAAAAUCUUCUAGAAGGACAGGCUUGCUGAGACCCCACCGUAAACAGAAGACUCGAGGGUCACUGAAGACCCAAGUGUAAAGACGUCCAAGACCCAAGGUUCUCUCCUGACCAUUUCAUUUCCUUUCUGCGAGAGUCUGUCUGUCCCUCUGUCCACCCUAGGCUGCUCUGAAGGCAGGGCCCGUUCCUCCAUCUUGGCAGGUUUCUGUCCCCUCCAAGCACCUGCAAUGGCCCAUAGAAGCUGUUGCCAACACAUUAAUCACCUAAGCAAGGCUGAACAUAAUACGGCUCGUGUAUACACUUCCUUGUGGUUUGUGGCCUGGAUGUUCGGCUUCCGACCCGUGUGACCUUCGCGAUGUAUCCCGCCUCUCUGCGUCUGCAUUUCCUGCUGUGGCGAGGAUUACACGAGAUACCGCAGAAUUCAGAACAGUGCUUCACGCAUGGUGAGUGUCCCACCAGCCUCAACUGGUCCCAGUACCAGGAACACACCGUUUGGAACACCACCGUCUUCAAACCAUUUGCUGCGUGUGAUGGGAGUGCCGGGGUGAGGAGACCUGAAUUUGAAUCCCGACUCCCCUGCCUGUGUCUUGGCCUCUGCAAAAAUAUUGAGUGAAGGGCUCUUGACCAUUUGAGACGAGCGGAGAGCGUGCGGACAUCACAGUUGCAGAAACCGAAUUCAGAGAGGUUGCUUGAAUUGUCCUGGGUCACACAGCAAACCUGAGAGAGCUGGGACAAGAACCCAGACCUGUCAGCUUUUCCUGCCUUGGUCUGAAGUGGUUCUUCCAUGGAAAGGAAUGUCACCAGAAGUAAGAUAGUCCUAGGAACCCAAGGGGUAAGCUCAGUGUGGGACAUUUGGGGCACCAUCAAAUUAAGUGCUACAACUCAAUGACUUAUUCAUCCCAGAAAUCAAAUAUCAUGGUGCUAUAAGGCGAGAUUCAUGUUAGGAAAAAAAAUCAGCUCUUUGAAGGAAUGUGAGUGACUGGUCUACCGUGCUUGGUUUAACAGCAGAAGAGAUAAAAUGCUAAGCUGUUUCAUUGUCCGAGAUGCAUUCACCUACUGACGUUUAUUGAUUUAUUAAUGACACAAAUAGUUACUGAUUGACUAUUUAUGCCAGGCCCUGGGCUAGGUGCUGGAAACGCAGUGAUGAAGUUCUAACACACACGGAACUGAUAUUUUAGUGGAUGGACAUACAAUGAAGAAUUAAACACAAAUUGGAUGCCGCUUCACAAGAGACUUCAUCUGUUUGGAGAUCAAGACAGCAUUACCUCUGUGAUCUGACUUCUCAUCGCCGUGUGUCAAUGCGAAGUCAAAUAGUGCGGCCACGCCUUGGCAGGCCUUCUGCUGUAUGGAGACCGUGAUGAAUAGCUCUGUGAUGCCAGUUCGAUUUAUUUGGUAAUCGCGAAAAUACACCAGGACCCUCUGUGGAUAAAAUCCUUACUCCUGUCUCACAGAUUCUGCCAGAGGGAAGAUCUCACUCGUAAGGAAUGAGCAGGACAAGAAGAGACCAAUGAGCUUGGGCUCUAGGGUCACACUGUCUGGGUUUGAACCCCCGCUUGACCUCUCAGUAGCCGUGGACCUUGGAUUUACCUCUUCCGUGACUCAUUAUUUUACCGAACUAGAAGAGAGGGGUGUGAGUGAUAUGUAGAGCCCAGAGGUGUGGUGACUAAGAAAAGGCACAGAAAAUGCUCUGGACAGAGCCUGGCAAAUAGAUUUCCAAUGAGCAUUAGACAUCAUCAUUAUUACAGUCUACUGAGGCUGAGACAAGAAUUUCAAUACAGGGUGAAUAGAAUCAAUAUUAGAAAUGUUUCCCCACGAAGGAUAUGAGGACCUUUGGAUUUUAGCCCUCUUUCUGAAUGAUGGGAUUUUGGCAAAUUUCCGGCCUUAAUUUCCCCAUUUCAUGUUUGAGCCUGAGACAUCAAAGAUGUUUGCCACACCCAAGGACUCACUCCCUGGGAAUGCAGAGUACUUUACAUAGAAUCAUCAUUCAACAAUCAGAUGAUUGAUGAUCAGCUUCCAAAAAAUACACUGCGAUGAUGAAAGAAUCCCACAUAAUCCCAGCAUCUUAAUACAGCAACCCUAACUCUGUAUGAACUUUUCUUCUGGUCUUUUUUCCCCCCCUGUCACGUUUUCAAGUGCAGUUUCAGCUGUAAUUCCAAUCAAAGGACACACACUGUGAUUUUUUGGGGACCAUAGAGUCAAAUAUUAAACAUAAUCUCAGUUCAGAACACACUCUGAUUUUUUCCAAGCCCAUCGAAUUUUGCGUCUCGUGUUCCGUUUGAAUUCAGCACUACAUAAGUGUUUUGACGUUGCUGCUUGGUUUUAACAAACCCGAGUAUCAUGGAUGUUGCUGUUGAAGGUAUGAGUUGGCUGGCUUUGCAUCUGUCAAACACUGUACAUUCCGAUGUAUUUCCAAUUAUGUAAAUUUCUCAAGAGUAAAGGAGUAAGUGAAGCAGGCGGAGUCCAUGUCAGCAAGGUCUCAGAUGCUAGUGAGCCCUUCUCUUGGCCUUGGCCAUGAAAAGAAUGUCAGAGAAGCAUUACUCGGAUCGUCAUGGCUGGCUGGCUGGACCCAGGUCUUCACCAUUUUAGAUGCCCCCAUGCAUGCUUGGUGGCAUUGGUGAUACUGCAGGCAUCCUGUGAGAAUGAUCAUUUUUAAAAAAAUUAAUAAACUAUGUUUAAGGGCAGUUUUAGAUCUCUAGAACAGUUGAGCAGAAAGUAGAGCCUUCCUUAUACCUCCCCAAUCCCACCCACAGUAUUUCCUGUUGUUAACAUCUUGCAUUCAUUUGGUAUAUUUGUAACAAUUGAAGAACCAAUAUCGAUACAGUACUGUUAGCUGAAGCCCGUAGACUACGUUAGGGUUCACCCUUGGUGUUGUACAUUUCGCAGUUUAGACAAAUGUAUAAUGAAUGACAUAUAUCAGCUUUACAGGAUUAUACAGAAUCGUUUUACUGCCCUAAAAAUCCUCUGGGCUCCGUCUAAGUCCCCCUGCCUCUGUUCCCCUCAGGUCCAUGGCCGCCACUGGCCUUCUGCUGUCUCCACAGCUUUGCCUUUUCCAGAAUGUCAAACGGCCAGGACCAUGCAGUAUGUAGCUUCUCUAGACCGGCUUUUUUUUUUUUUUCCUGGCAAAACUCAUUUAAGGUUCCUCCAUAUCUUUUCACGAUUUGAUAGCUCGUUCAUUUUUCUCUCCAAGUACUAGUUCACUGUAUGGAUAUACCACAAUUUAUUCGUGUAUAAAAGGACAACUUGGUUGUUUCCAUGUGUUGGCAACGAUGAAUAAAGCUGCUAUAAUAUGUGUGUAGAUUUUCGUGUGAACUAAGUUUUCAACACAGUUGAGUAAAUAACAAGGAGCACAACUGCUGGAUUGUAUGUUAAAAUUUUUGCUUUUUUAUU